rnacentral:rRNA from 1 species
UACGUAGGGUGCGAGCGUUGUCCGGAAUUAUUGGGCGUAAAGGGCUCGUAGGCGGUCUGUCGCGUCGGGAGUGAAAACUCAGGGCUUAACCCCUGAGCCUGCUUCCGAUACGGGCAGACUAGAGGUAUGCAGGGGAGAACGGAAUUCCUGGUGUAGCGGUGAAAUGCGCAGAUAUCAGGAGGAACACCAAUGGCGAAGGCAGCUCGCUGGGACGGUACUGACGCUGAGGCGCGAAAGCGUGGGGAGCGAACAGG